UACAGAGGGUGCAAGCGUUAAUCGGAAUUACUGGGCGUAAAGCGCGCGUAGGCGGACCUGCAAGUCGGGGGUGAAAGCCCGAGGCUUAACCUCGGAACUGCCCUCGAUACUGCGGGUCUCGAGUCCGGGAGAGGUGAGUGGAAUUCCUAGUGUAGAGGUGAAAUUCGUAGAUAUUAGGAAGAACACCAGUGGCGAAGGCGGCUCACUGGCCCGGUACUGACGCUGAGGCGCGAAAGCGUGGGGAGCAAACAGG
rnacentral:rRNA from 1 species